CUGGUAAUGAAAGCCUCCCACACAGCGGCCUUCUGCACAGAUGCAAACACGCCUCCUCCCGCGCGUCAGUGGCCUGUGGUGAACUCAGGGCGGGUAAAGUUUGAUUAGGUUAGCCCGAUCUAAGAGGACAAGAGCCCAUUGAUUAGCUCAUGAAUAGCCAACCGUUGCAUUUCUCUGAAGCCACGCAGGUAGAGAGAGGACCCCACCAAAUGUGGAGCGAAGAUUUCGUCAGUUUCCCCGUCGUGACUUUAACAUCUUCUGCACCGUGUUGUCAUCCGGGGAGAAACGUCAUUUGUCGCCGUAGCCCGCUCACGCAAUCGAUCCCUUCGACAUGAGGACAACGGCUAUCGUCUUUGCUCUGACGGAAAGCCCCGUCUGCCCCAGAGGGUCCUGCAGCGGAGAAGGUCGGGGCAGAACCUCGGCCUGCGCCGCCCCGCAGGGACCUUGUUGUCUUUGGUCCACUUUCUGUUCAUUCCCCGCACAGCUGAAAGGGAAGAACGGAUCUCUGUUUGAGACGCUACCUGCUGGAUAUUUAUGCAGCUGUGAGGCUGAAGAGGACCUUUGAUAUCUUAUUCAGGCUUCACACACAAACACACUGAGUCCUCUGUGGAACCAGAACCAUCAGCGAAAAACACACACACACACACACUGCUCGCCGGUCCGUCCACCAUCGGCGUGGGGACCUCGGAGCUCGACCCCGAGGCCCCGAGGGUGGAAGUGGUCUCGAGGUCACAGUAAGAUAAAUCCAUGAAAACGGGUGAACAGGAUGUGUGAUCCCACCCAGACGAAAGGAACGCACACUAUUAGAACUGUAAUGUAUAAAUGGAUCAAGCUGCUUAGCAACAAGACAGCGUUCUCUCCUCACAUGUACGGACAUUUAUUUAAAGACAAACGCUUUUCAGACGGAUUUGUAUUCGUCACACAGGCACAAGCACAUCGUGCAGUGACCGUGAAACCCACUGUACAUUGUGCGUGCUUGCAACUAUUGUUAAACCUGUAAGGGUUUAUAGCAAGGUGCUACUUGGUAACAGCUACUAUCCAAUGGAACUGGCCCAGCUGUUAUGGUAUUGCCAGUUUAAGCAUCUAAUAAAAGAAAUGCAUUGAUUUUUA
ensembl:lncRNA